rnacentral:rRNA from 1 species
AUUGAACGCUGGCGGCAGGCCUAACACAUGCAAGUCGAGCGGAUGAAGGGAGCUUGCUCCUGGAUUCAGCGGCGGACGGGUGAGUAAUGCCUAGGAAUCUGCCUGGUAGUGGGGGAUAACGUCCGGAAACGGGCGCUAAUACCGCAUACGUCCUGAGGGAGAAAGUGGGGGAUCUUCGGACCUCACGCUAUCAGAUGAGCCUAGGUCGGAUUAGCUAGUUGGUGGGGUAAAGGCCUACCAAGGCGACGAUCCGUAACUGGUCUGAGAGGAUGAUCAGUCAACGUGGGAGUGGGAACGGGCCCCAGCCUCCUGCGGGGGGGAGCAGGGGGAAAUGUGGGACAGGGGGCGAGAGCGGGCCCCGCCGGGCGGGCGUGUGAGAAAGAGGUCUUGGGUUUGGAAAGCCUUUUAGGGGGGGAGAAAGCGAAGUAAUUUAAGACCUUGCUUUUUUGACUUUAACAACUAAAUAAGCCCCGGCUAACUUCGUG